CUAGCUCCAAUCACGGGGUGGAGUGCCCCCAGGAAUCACGAGUAGCCGGUCUUGAUGUAACAGCAAGAGGUAGCUUUUAUUAACGAGAUCCCUAUUAGCGGGAUCCCGGGUCGAUACGUAUCUCACACAGGAGACAGAGGAAUCGACCCCGAGCUUCCAAACUCGGGGGUUUAUAUAGGGGAGGUUAGGGGCAUUCGCUCGGUUACACAUGAUUGGUCAUUUCAAAUGGUGCACAGUUACUUUCGGCGCGAAAUUACAUCAGCAAGGAGUAUGUGCUAUCUAGCAGCUCAGCAGCGUGGGUAGGGUGGCUCAUCUCACUCAGGGGGAUGACUCACUUCUGGGGAGUGAAGGAAGGGGAGGGGGUGGCUACGGAUGGUCAGUGUCCUUGGGGCUGGUAGCUGGUCCGGCAAGUCCUAUCUCUGGCUCUCCCUCAGGCACGUCCAGCCCUGCAGUCCAGUCCGGACUCUGACAAUGAGUAACCUUUUUAAAACUCUAGUUCUACAGGAGGAUGGGAGAGUGAAAGACCCUCAGAUUGAGGAGACUCUCGCUCCAAUCCUGAGGACACCCACCACCCCACGAACACACGGGACUCAGUCUUGAUGUAAAAACAAGAGGUUUACUCGGGAUACCAGUGCAAGAGGAAGUGAGAAGAGGAAAUGGGAGGGGGAAGUAGUGGAGAAACCACUGUGUCCUGCCUCCCUGGAAUGCCGAGCUGCUGCUUGCAUUGCCCCAUUUUGCUGACGUCUGGAUACAGAGCCAGGGUGGUUAGACUUCCGGUAUGCUAAUUACAAUACGUUGCCUUGGUGCUCUUUCCGUUUCACGCAUAUGCUUCGUUCCUAUACCCAACUGGGUAGACCAAAGCUGCGCACCUUGACUCUGCCCUCCCAUAGCCCAAAAGAUGAAGGACAGGACCGUCUUAACCAGGUAUUUGGAGUACAUUACAGCCACGCACCAAGGCAAAUUUCUGCCACACUCAUCUUGUAAGCUGGUGGCAAUGUCUGAAAAACGUCCAGAAUAGCAAUUCUGAGUCUCCUUUGCCACCGCCUUCCUCUCCCACGUACAUAUUGAACCAGUCCAGGAGAUGGCUGAUAGAAACCAGAGCUUUGAGUAACAGGGACAUUGAUUCUCUGUGUGAUGGUCACCCGUGGGAAGGCAGGCUCUGUCUAAAAAUGGAAUUCUGCUCUUGGUCCUAUGGGUAUUGUCUUUCAACUGUAUUGGCUUCAUCACCAACUGGAAGAGAGAGAAGAGAGGAAGAGGGAGAGGGAGAGAGAGAGAGAGAGAGAGAGAGAGAGAGAGAGAGAGAGAGAGAGAGAGACUGUCUUUUAAACCAUCAGGACCAAGCAAGCCUUGGAGAAGACUGUAUGAAAACAUGCUUCUACUGGGAAUAUCAUGAAUGACUCAGAAUCCACACAGGAGAUUGGGACCUUCUGGGUCUCAAAACCUUCUAACCAGAAGCAGCUUGGGAAGGAAAGGGUUUGUUUGGCUUAAAUAUUAUAAAUUUAUAUUUGAGGAAGCCAAAACAGGAACUCGGGGCAGAAACCUAGAGGCACAAAAUGAAGUGGGGACCAUGGAAGGAAAACACUGCUUUCUGGCUUGCUCAGCCUACUCUCUUAUACAAACCGGGACCACCUGCCUAGGGGGUGACACCACCCACAGUGGACCUGGCUCUCUCACACAUCAAUCAUCAAGACAGUUCCCCACAGGCAUGCCCAAUCAUGCCAAUCUGAUGGAGGAAAUGUCUCAACUGAGGCUCCCUCUUCCCAAGUGACUCUGACUUGAGUCAAGAUGACAAUGAAAACUGAACAACACACCUGGAACCUUCUUUAUCUUAAACCUGGAGAAAAGGCGGCUACUGCUUGACUCUCUGAAAAUCCAGUGGACCAGCCUGCAGUGCACACAAGUUGCAGGUCUCUAUGUUUUAAGUUGAGAGAAGCAGACCAUAUCCAGUGUUCGAUUCCCACAGCCAUUCAGAUAAUCCAAGAGCUCUGAGGCUAAGCUGACUUUCCCGGCCACUGAAUGCUGCCACGAGAUAGGCUUGACCCAACUAUUAUUAUAAGUCAUUACGAUUCAUCCAGGACUUUUUGAACAUCUAUGUAUCCAAAAUAGAAAGAGGCUCAUUCACUGGCAUCCGAGAGCCGCACAGAUCUGGCUGUAACAAUAAGAACACAGCAUAAUUAAUGGUAUAGGUCAGCUGUGGUAAACAGGUCCUGUUUCUUCUGCUAAAUCCAGUCAGUCAUGAAUGGUUGUCUUGUGCAAUUCCGAGGUACAAUCCAGGGUCAAGGGCAGAGAAACUGAGAUUGCCUCACCAUGUGUGACAUGGCUUGGAGACAAGGACUAAUAUUACAAUUGGUCUGUACUGACGCCAACCUAGUGCAUGCUGGGUACUUCUCUGAGCACCAAAUGGUGGAAUUUGCAACCCAUGGCAGGAGACACACACUGAAAACAGCACACAUGUAUCUCCAGGGUACAACAACUAUGAAGAAAACAAAAGAGUUUGGGAAAGAGUGUACUCUCCAGCAAGUAGAGGGAAGGGGGACUCGAGUAGAGCUCUGAGCCCUGUGGAUUGCAAUUUGGGAAGGAUGUCUAAGAAACGGUGUAUCUCAAAGCAAAGAUUCGAAAGCUGGACAUGACCCGACACAGGCGCUGGAACGGACCGGAAGUGUCCACGUGCAGUACUUUGUGCAUCUCAAGUGACACCGCAACAGAGCUUUUAACUGCAAAGGUCUCUCCAAAUAAGCUGAGUGAGGUAAGUCACGUAAAUGUAUGCAGACAGAGCGUCCAGAGGCUGAGGAAAAAGCAUGCGCCAAAGCCACAGGCAAGAACGCACUUGAGAUAGCAGAAGUUUGUCGGGAGGACCGGAAGCGGGAGGACCGGAAGCGUUGGUGGGGGAGUUGGUAAAAGAACGUGCUGUACAGGAUCUCCGUAGCCAACAGGCACUCUUUGAAACCGAGACUUUGGCAGGGCCUGGUGACACGCCCCCUUCGUCCCAGCACUUGAGGGCAGAGGCAGUUGAAUCUAUGUGAGUUUGAGACCAGUAUGUUCUAUAGAGGGAGUUCCAGGUUAGGCAGGGCUACACAGAGAAAUUCUGUCUCAAAACAAAUAUAUAUAUUUAAAAAAAAGGGCAGACUUCCAGGUCGGAGAGCAACAGAAGAAUACCAUUUGGCCAUGGCUCUAACUCAGGUCUCCCAUGGACUUUUUACCAGAGAAGCCUGAGAAUCAGGAUCCUUGAGCCUCGGACAACACAGAAUCAAAACCCUGAUAGAACGUUGCCGCUUGUUGUUGUUGUUGUUGGUGGUGGUGGUGGUGGUGGUGGUGGUGGUGGUGGUGGUGGUGGUGGUGGUGUGGUGGUGGUGGUAGUGGUGGUAGUGGUGUUGAUGAUGGUGAUGUGGUUGUUUUUCUCCAUCAGUUAGAACCGCAGGAUGCCAGGGGUCUGGGGGGAAGCAGGGGAUGAAGAUAGGGGUGAGAAGGGGUUAGCAAGCUGACUCUUAGUCACCCGGCUAGCACAAAGCAUCUUCUGUUCCUCACAGUCCUCCUAUCUGGAAUACCUUCCCACUAGCACUGUGGGUAUUUACCCAAGAAUAAUGGGUGAUCUUGAUUGUUACCUUGAUUGGCUCAAGCAACAGAACUAUCUAGGGAGUUAAUGAAGCACACUUCUAGGGGUGUCUGAGAGGGGUUCUGAGGGCUCUGGCCUAGAGAAUGGAUUAAUCCCUGAUGUUUGGUGGUAAUACUGAGAUAUGUGAAAAGAGUUGAGUGUCAGGUGGAGGAAGUAAGCCACUAGGGGCAUGGCCUUGGGGGCACCCUGGCCUGUUCCUGAACAUAUUCUCUUUGCUUUCUGUCCAUCACUACAGGUUCCUACCAACAGGGUGCUCUGCACAAGCCCACCAAGGUCAAGCUACAAUGGGUUUGACCCCUAAAACCAUGAACAAAGUAAGUCCUUUGUUCCUGGACUUGUGUCCUCUACUGGGUCACAAUGAGAAAAGUAACACCCAAGGCUAAUGCAGUAGUAAGUGUGGUGGUUUGACUAUGCUUGGCCCAGGGAGUGGCACUUGGAGUGGGUGUGAUCUUGAUAUUGUGGGCAUGGCCUUGUUGUUUGUGGGCAUGGCCUUGGUGUUAUGGGCAUGGUCUUGCUGGAGGAAGUAUGUCACUGUGGGAGAGGGCUUUAAGACCUUUGUCCUAGCUACCUGGAAGCCAGUCUUCUCCUAGCAGCCUUCAGAUGAAGUUGUAGAACUCUCAGCUCCUCCUGCACCAUGCCUGCCCGGAAACUGCCAUUGUCUUCCCACCUUAAUGAUAACGGACUGAUCCUCUGAACCUCCAUGAGGCGACGCCUCAGCCCACCGGCACCGUAGUAAGAAGGAAACAUGAGGGGCAGGAGAGAUGGCUCCGCGGUUAAGAGCACCCGACUACUCUUCCAGAGGUCCUGAGUUCAAUUCCCAGCAACCACAUGGUGACUCACAACCAUCUGUAAGAGAUCCGAUGCCCUCUUCUGGUGUAUCUGAAGACAGCUACAGUGUACUUAUAUAUAAUAAAUGAAUAAAUCUUAAAAAAAAAAAA